rnacentral:rRNA from 1 species
GACUGCCCAAGACGCCCACCUCUUUUUUAUCCACCCCUACCCUUCCGCUUGCACGCUCCACCUACGGAAGAUAGCUACCCUCCCUACGCUUGGUUGCUUUGUUGCAUGCCUGACGGUGUCUAUAUCUACGCGCCUAAAAAGGAAUUUAAGACAAUAAACAAAGGAAGUUUAAGCAAUAAAAUAGAUAUAGAUAUGGAUGGAUGAAGAACCAAAGCAGGGCGAUCUACUAAAAUAGAAAACAAUUUUUAUAUAGGAUUUACGAAUUAGCACGUCGACGCGCUAAGCCAGCGCGACUCGCGUGCGCGAUGGGCUGUUCCGGCGAUCUUUGGUUGGCGAAGUGAGAGAAGGAAGAGCUCUUUUUUCGGAAUAGGGUUAGGUUAGGGGAAAAGGAGCAGAUGUAAAUCAGGCUGGUCACGAGUCCGCUUCGUAUCCUCGCGGCGGCAGCUGCUGGACCGCCAGCACCUCCUCCGUCACGUGGCCUCCUCGAGCCGCUAGUCCAGCCGGCCCCUCGGCCUCGUCGUCGUGAGGGCAGGGGGCAGGUGGGUCGCCGGGGGCCGGGGCGUUGGGGCAGCUCCUUCCCGGCGUUGCCUCGAGUGCGGCCUCCCGCUGGAAGACGAGUCCAGUCGACCGGCGCCAUGUCGGCACACCAGGCGGCCGUGGUUCCCAGCGAGGCGGCGACAAUGCGCGUAGUCGUCGUUUCUGUUGAAGCACUCUAUCGGAGACCGCACCUCGACAAGCUGGGUCCGUCGCUUACUGUUCAGUGGAGUGCCACCUUUGACCGCGCGUCUUCCAAAAAGGAAAAGACCCGACAGGACUGCGGCCGCGCGCCAUCCCGAAAGGACAGCCCCUCCUGCGAGCACGCGGUCCAUCGGUCUACUAUUUCAGGACUUACGACCUGAACUUGACCUUGAGAACUCGAUAUCCCGGAGAGUUGUUCGGGGUCGUAUACUCUUACGUGGGAUGUCUACUCAACCAGGUGUUCGUUAAUACGAAUUUCAAAUACUAAUUAAUGUUUCCUCGAUAACUAAUGGUCUUAAUAUAACGAAAGUUACUUGUUGUUAACACCGGUAGUUGAUACAAAGAAGGUCCGGAGUUCUUGUGGUGUCGGUCUGUGUUCAGCCUCCAUUGCCAGUAAGGUAAACGCAUACCCAUUACGUUUUUCGUUUCGGCCACUUGUAGUUGUUCUUCUCCUGCAUCGAUGUCCAGUCCGCUCACCAUUUUUACAACUUCUUAUAUCACGUUGGAAACUAUGACUUUUUCUACUUCGAUAAACGCGUUGUCUUGGGCGGAGAUGCUCGCUCUGUUUAGACUUUCUUAUAUUAGGUUCGUAGAUUUGGCAUCGACGUUUAGAACUGGGUUAAAUGUGCUGCCUUUGUCUACCUAGUCUUACCCAUUCCGGACCUAUGGUACGACUACCAGUUUGUAAACGCCGAUGCCGAUUAGAUUGUGAUCUAGUACGAUAAUUAUUCUACGUCGACGCUCUACUAUGACUUCUGCUGUGUCGAAGGCUUGACGAACUUUGACAAAGAGAUUUAUUACUUACGUUUUUUAUGCGACUCCUUCGUUCCCUCGUCAUGUUACGUUCCUCCGCACGUCGAAUAGCCUUCUUUUUAUUACUCCUAUAACAGUCGAAUGUUCUACUCUUAGUCGGCUAGUAUCCCUAGAAUAGUUGCGAGCAUCCGCCCACCGAAUAGCGUUAUUGUUCAGUCUACCAAGCCGAUUGGUUGUUCAGUUACCCUUCAGUAGGGCAGGGGUCAGAGAUACACUAUAGUGUUUACAAGAGCUUCUAUCCCUCUAUUUAUUUGGGUGUGCUCUAAUAGUACGAUCGAUCCUGAUAUGUAGUCAGAGCGGAUUACUACAUUGUAUGGGAGUACUUCGAUGCCAGUGUAGCCCACAGGAAACACACCCUCUAUUUCUUCUUAUAAAAAGGUUUCAUCUGGUUUCUUUGCGGGACCUUUCCCGAAGGACAACCGCCUUUUUUGUUGGAUUACAGGCUCUACUUUUACGUGUACGGGAAGUAAGUAGUCCGUUCGAAUUUAACAAAAUAACAAAAUUGGUACUAUCAGCCAUGGCAGUUUUGGUAAUUCGACUGUAUACAAACCUGUUGAAACCAAGUUGUCUGUUGGGUUGAUCGAGAUUGAUACGUCGUAAGAGCGUACUACGCAGUUGUAAAGGACGAUGUUCAUGCCAGUGUAGACCAGAGUAAUUACUUUUACUUUAUGUUCUACGUUUACAUUAGUACAUACUGUGGGUUCUUUGUCUCGUAUUUUGCCUUCUACUUGCGUUCUCUCCGGUAUCUUUGUGUCAUUCUUCCCGAAGUACAGCCGCCUUUUUUGUUGGAUUACAGGCUCUACUUUUACGUGCCUGGGAAGAAAAUAGUCUGUUGGGUUGGUCGACAUUUUGUAAAGGACCAAGUUUAUGCCAGAGUAGACCUGAGUAGAUACUGUUGCUCGAAGUUCUUUGUCUCGUUUUUUGCCUUCUUCUUGCGUUCUCUCUGGCAUCUUUGCGGGACUCCUCCCGAAGGAUAGCCGCCUUCUUUGUUAUAUUACAAGUUCAACUUGUACGUGUCUGGGAAGUAAAUAGUCCGUUGGGGCGAUCGAGAUUGAUAUGUAGUAAGAGCGCACUACGCGCCUGUAAAGGACUAUGUUGAUGCCAGAGUACACCCCAGCAAUUACUGUUGCUCGAUGUCCUACACUAAAACUUACUGUGUGUUCUUUGUCUCCUUUUUUGUCUUCUUCUUGCGUUCUCUCUGGUAUCUUUGCGGGACGCCGCUCGACGAAUAACCUCCUUGUUCCUAUUCGUAUAGUUUCUAGUUUUGUUUGCAGGUAGACCAUGAAGUCUGCUGGACUUAUCGGGAUCGCAAUGUCUUAAUUACUUUCUCCCUCGUUGUACAGGGGGAAGUUGAAUCUGCGCAGACAGUAAGUCCUGUGAUAAGAUCGAUCCUCCGUUUCACUGUUACUCGCCUUUGCAUUAAAUUGUUUGCUCGUUUCCCUCCGUUUUUUGCGUUCAUCGUCUCGUACGGUAGUCUUCUUUUCACUGCUUAAUUGCCACCUCCAGUCUCUUUGUUUCUUACUUUUUUAUGCGCACUUAGCGCACGUCGCGGCGUUUUCGUACAGCCACUAACUCUUCCCCCUCAGUUCACGUGUCUCCUUCCGGUUAAUACUUUCUUCCUUUUUUUGUGGCACGUUUCUUACGUAGCGUUAGGGGGAAUGUCUGGAUCGUUUGAGUUGGAGACUUACAGGGUGAAGGGGUUCGGCGCGUAGUGGGCAGAGAGCCCGGCUUUUUCUACUAAGUAGACUACCGCUAGGCCCCUGCUUGUACGGCUCUAUGAGACGGCCACGACUACUUCUGUAGCUACAUAAGGUUUCGCCGUGGUACCCGCUACUCGUCCUUCGUGUGCUGAACUAACUACUCCUCAUGAUGUACAAAACGUUGCUUCCUAGGCUAUUGCUGUAUAACCUACUACUGCUCCUUCGCUCGUACAGAUCGCGAUUUGGAUCGCUCUAACUAGGUAAACUGUGACAGAUGAGUUUGUAAGGUCUGUUGUGAGUGUAGGACUUUCAGCUGCUUUUAACGUUUGUAACGUUCCGGUCUUUCAAACUCAGACUCUGACUGCCGAAGACGACAGCGUUACCGGUCUAGGUCGAAUUCUUUGGCCUUGGUUAGGGUCUCGAAUACUCCGAUACCAGGUCGUACCUACGUCUAAGAUCUGUAAAAGCCCUCUUGUAUGCAAAGAAGUUGCCCGUAAAGCGGAAGUGUUGGGAACCCCAGUCGGAACUACUUUUGAUGUGAUUGUACUUCAGACCCCACAUGUGUAAGGCUCGUGUGCUGUGGUAGAUGGUGUUACAGGUAAGCAAGCCCGGAUCGAGGGCAGGUCUUGUAGACGUCAACAUGAAGAUACUGCUGCUGGGAUUGGAUUUAGUAGUAUUCCGCCGGUGGUUCGUUAAUCUGGUCCUACAGCACUUCUCCAAUCAUCUGUAUGAGUUUCUUUUGGGUACGAGGGUCGUUAAAUCCUCAAACCCACGUGUGUUCCUGUUGGAGCUACUAAUAUCCUAUCUGGAUUUGUGGCUAUUCUCCGAACUGGUUUCUUCUAUAUUAUCUGGCCACAGUAGACUUCAGCGACGUUAAACCCAACUCCCGUGACUGGAUCGUUUUUCCAAACUGGCGUCCUAUUGUGAAACACCAUUGUUGUUGCUUUCCGUAUCAUAUGCACACUGGAGUCCCCGUAUACUGGGCAACAGAAUAGGUAAUAAGAUAGGUUACCCCCUCGAUCCAACCGUAGGCUUCGAUGGGUUUGCAUUACAAAGAACCCUCCAACAUGUUUUAGGAGCAAACACAGUACUACUGCUUCUACUACGUCUCCCCUUAUCGUCCAAUACGCAGAGGCAAUCUCUGAUGAUGACAAUGUACGACGUUUGUGCCAGACGCUAGAAGUUAGGUUAUGAAACACCUCGUGCGGAUGACGUCGUUACCUGCCAACUGUACAUGUAGUUCUAACUCUCGACAGCCAACUCCACCAUGUCCUUCUUGGUCUGCGUCUAGGCACGGCUAAACAUAUUUCCUCAACAACUACGCUAGUGUAGCCCACUCUGCGCUCGUUCGCAACAACCCCAUUCUUAUCACGAGGGACCUUGAAUGGGACCACCGCUGGCGCUGUACUUCUUCUCUGUAUACCUACGGUACCGUUAACAGGUAUGUAUGCCCUUCGGACUGUAGAAGAACUGGUACUGAACGUUGGUAUUUACCCUUCUCUAUUGUUUACUCAACGAAGGACCUGUCUGCCACGUUCUGGCUGGACUUUAACACCGAGCGCACAAGAUACCGUUUGAUCUCCGAUACUUUCUAUACAACGAGUUCUUCUACCAGGACCCACAACAACAACGAAUACAAAUGCAUCAACUCAAGGUCUUCUCUCCGGAGGGGGUGCGUGUAAAAAACAACUAGUACCUAAGUUGCAUAUUCGAAGAACAGGGUCUCGUCAUACUGGCUGAGUAAAGGCGUCUCGAGGGUCUGUUCGUUUUCAUAGGCCUUAACAUACGUUACCACCAUUUUGUAUACUACGUGCCUGGUACGCCACGAGAGUUGGGCUUCUUACAAACGUACGUUCUAUUACUUACGUUCACGUCUAUGGGCGCCGGCAAGUUACUCUUGUGCUAUGUUCCGUUCCUGAGUAUGGGUCAAAUAGCCGCAUCUUUGCUACCAUCUGCGCGAUUCCAAGCUCCCUUUUACAACCUGUUGGCUACCCAACACGGUAUAUUGGGAAUGGAAGACGCCUACAAAUUAACGGUGUAGUUGCAGCUCCAGACGAGAUCGUAUUUCCGACAUUUUAUGUAAAUAUUCAUGUAAAUAUUCCCGGUACUAUUCCGAAGAAAGUCGUAGCUGGUCGGUCUGCGACUACCAUUCUAACUACUCUAGUUCUCUAUGCAACUGCGUUCUACCCAGUGGGGAGGCCUCCGAUACACCUCCUAUAAACCGAAGGGUGACACACGGUUAAUGGGCGGACAGAACGUCAACGGAGAAGUAGAGGGCUUAUACGUGUCCCAACGUAAGUUACGUGUCCGACUGAACUUCUUACAACAUAGGAGGCUCUUACGAAGUUUUAGGUACAAUUGCCUCAUAAAGUUCCGUUUACUUGAUGUGGGAACCCGUUCCGUAUAUAACAUGUUCCUAAAGGGGCCUUCGAAGUGCACCCUCUUCUUUUUCUUCAAGACUUUCUCCGCCCAACUCGCAAAAGUUUAUCCAGCAUAGCACAGACGGUUAGGACGGCUCCCCCUCGCUAUGAUGGAAGCACACAACAACUUGGUACAAGGCCCCUUUUGUAGUAAACUCCUGAACGAGUGGCAGCUGCCGUACCAUACACCCUCGAAAUCUCUCAGGCCACUUUCCAACCCUGAGUAGCUCCGUCUGUUGUGCGAGCUGCUGACAGAAUGACUCCGCCUCGUCACCCGAUACGGUACAAGAGAAUCCUCCGAGAAACGUUGUUAGAACCACGUGACGCUCGGUCCGCUGCACGCGCCCAAUACCCUAUCUGUGGAGCUCGGAUACAGGCUACUGAUGGCAGCCUGUGCGUGCAGGGGCUUGCUCCACUUCGUCUACCACAACGAACUGUAAUCCCCAUACAACGUCAGAUACCCAUUUCUGUAAUAGCUAAAACGAGAAGGUUGCUAGCUACUACGUAAACUGGGUUGGCUCCCGCUCCGGUCUCUCUAGUAGCUCCUUAGUUGGUAACUCAAACUGCUUUCACUGUGAUUUAACAGUAGAAGGGACUUAAAACUCGUUUCCCGACGUAUGCUGCUCUAUGAUCGCCGACAACUUGCGCCACUACCCCCAUAUAAGAAACAACUACCGGGACCUCCAUGCCCCUUCUGGAAGGAAAUGUCCCGCUACGAGCGGUUCCGCUCCGCGCUCCCGUUCUAACGAUAGCGAUGGCGCUGCAGCCCGCAGCGACGAAGAUAGUACGGACCGCCGUCCUGACGGGUGAGCUCUAAGUUUUAGGGUAACUCAACACUACUACCUCGGAGCACGUCGAAGUGGUUCGUCUCACCCUGGCGGUUCGACGAUUCCUACCGGAGUAACUAUGAUACCCUGCUCCGGUCGUACUGAUUCGCUGUUCGCCAACUCCGUAAUCUGUUAUCGUACGCGCUGUAGUACCCUUAUGCGCUGGCUGGGAAACCUCCUUUCUGACAACAAAAACCGCCCCUGAAAUCCGUCCACGAAGGCCAGCAGUCUUCCCCCAGUGCCCCGGUCUAUUAACUACGUUCGGAGGCUUCAAGAGUAGAUACCUUCUCAUACGCCGUCGAAGUCGAGUAGUGGUUGUACUCCCGAGUAUUACUGUUCACCAAACGUCUAAUGAACGAGUCCCUGCCAUUACCGUGUCUCCUUCGGCUCCUAGUUCCGUUGUAUGAUGAGGGACUACUAUAGACAGACGGUAGAUGUCCGCUCCAACUGCUGGACCUCUUCGACUAACUGGUGCACAAAGGCUCAGAUCUACUGUUGUACCGUCUAAGCUCAAUGUACUGUAGAGCGCGUUAGGAAAGGUGGUGUUUACUGUUGCAGCUGUUCUAUUUGUAGGCGUACUAUCUCGCAAAGGUGCCUCUACUUCAUUAGAUGGUAUCGAAACUGUCACGCCUCCUACUGGGUAUACCGAUGAUGCGAGGACUCAAAGACUUGCCUAACUGAGGGUUACCAGAAGGAAGCGUACGUGAGUUUGAUUUCGACUUAACGGGCCACUAUGAAGAUUCUUUGUAACUAGGUCGAUUACCCGACACAUUGCCCUGAUCCGAACAACAAGCUCCAAAACUCUCCUUGUGGUAACUACGUCUUUAGCACUAACCUGUUGUGCGACCAUCCUCCCAGAAGGAAGGAGCUUAUGGAGAUACGGGUAGAUUGUUGCUGUACAAAGGUAAGUUCAAAUUCUCCUUCGUUAAAGGAUAAUCCGAAUCGAAACGAUACUGCUAAUUGUUCCGAGUUCCCGUCUGGUAGGGUUAACAACCACACAUAGAUGGAUUAGGCCACAAGAGAGUACCAGUUGAGAUACAACGAAACAGAGCUCGGUGGCGCUUCUCUUUGUAUUUUUAUGAGUAAGUCUUCCUCUUCGGUUUCCUCUUCAGGUUGUUCGUUGUAUUGUUAGGCUUCUUCGCAUUUUCUGGCUGGCACAGGAACGACUGGAGUUACUUCUUGUAGCAGAUGUUCCUUCAUGAAUGUCCGACUUCAUACCAGAAUUAUCUGGACGACCUAAAUAUCUACGUUAAAUGAGAAGGCUACCAGUUCUUAACGACAUUAGCCAAGAUACUGUAUAGAAAAGUAAACCAUAGAACCAACAACCUCCAUAUGUGGUUAGUGAAGUUCAUUAUUGACGGAAAGUUAUUUAAAUAUGACACAAUACACAUUAGACUGUUACAUGUACAGUGUGUCGCAUGACACAAUACACAUUAUACUCUUAGUCUUUAUUACUAACCGAAGUACUUCUGGACCUAGUACAAUUUAAAUAAAACAUUUAAAACUAAUGUUGUACCUCGUACAUACAGAACAGUGGUAAAAUCGUACUUCCAAUGUAAACUAUGUAACUUAAAGUCACGCACAUAACCCAAUGUAUACAAUACAUACGAGCUCUACUAAUUUCGUAUUUACGGGUACUUUUCCG